rnacentral:rRNA from 1 species
AGUGAACGCUGGCGGUAGGCCUAACACAUGCAAGUCGAACGGCAGCACAGUAAGAGCUUGCUCUUACGGGUGGCGAGUGGCGGACGGGUGAGGAAUACAUCGGAAUCUACUUUUUCGUGGGGGAUAACGUAGGGAAACUUACGCUAAUACCGCAUACGACCUACGGGUGAAAGCAGGGGAUCUUCGGACCUUGCGCGAUUGAAUGAGCCGAUGUCGGAUUAGCUAGUUGGCGGGGUAAAGGCCCACCAAGGCGACGAUCCGUAGCUGGUCUGAGAGGGUGAUCAGCCACACUGGAACUGAGACACGGUCCAGACUCCUACGGGAGGCAGCAGUGGGGAAUAUUGGACAAUGGGCGCAAGCCUGACCCAGCCAUACCGCGUGGGUGAAGAAGGCCUUCGGGUUGUAAAGCCCUUUUGUUGGGAAAGAAAAGCAGCAGGUUAAUACCCCGCUGUUCUGACGGUACCCAAAGAAUAAGCACCGGCUAACUUCGUG